CGGGUGAGUAACACGUAAACAACCUGCCUUCAGGAUGGGGACAACAGACGGAAACGACUGCUAAUACCGAAUGUGUUCCGGAGACCGCAUGAUUUCCGGAAGAAAGGAUGGCCUCUAUUUAUAAGCUAUCGCCUGAAGAGGGGUUUGCGUCUGAUUAGGCAGUUGGUGAGGUAACGGCCCACCAAACCUACGAUCAGUAGCCGGUCUGAGAGGAUGAACGGCCACACUGGAACUGAGACACGGUCCAGACUCCUACGGGAGGCAGCAGUGGGGAAUCUUCCGCAAUGGACGAAAGUCUGACGGAGCAACGCCGCGUGAGUGAUGACGGCCUUCGGGUUGUAAAGCUCUGUGAUCGGGGACGAAUGGCUGGUAUGCUAAUACCAUAUCAGAGUGACGGUACCCGAAUAGCAAGCCACGGCUAACUACGUGCCAGCAGCCGCGGUAAUACGUAGGUGGCAAGCGUUGUCCGGAAUUAUUGGGCGUAAAGCGCGCGCAGGCGGCUUCCUAAGUCCAUCUUAAAAGUGCGGGGCUUAACCCCGUGAUGGGAUGGAAACUGGGAGGCUGGAGUAUC
rnacentral:rRNA from 1 species